rnacentral:misc_RNA from 1 species
CUAUCUCUCUCCCGUUCACGUUCUUCUCUGUCACGUUCCCUCUUAUCUCUCUCUUUCUCUCUCGCCCUCUCCCUUUUCUCCUCCCUUUCACUAUCUCUAUCUCUGUCCCGAUCUCUAUCUCUCUUCCUAUCCUUGGGUCUUUCCCUUUCGUCAUCUCGGCUCCUUCUAUGCUUGUCCCGCUCUCUCUCAUAUUUGUCAUCGGAAUCAAUACUCUUCUCUCUCUCAGAACGUCGGCUUUUCUCUCUGUCCCGAUUCCUCUCUCCAUUCCUCUCCUUAUCACGAUCACGGUGACUCCUCUUCGAAUCCUCCUCCUUCCUUUCCGAAUCUUCCUUCCUAGAUUUAUGUUUCACAUCCUCCAUUGCUUAUUUCUUGCUAAAUCUCUCUUAACCUCGCAAAAUAUGGCAGAGGGACAGUUCCUUCUUCGAGAUGCUCCCCCAAACCCUAAUGUUAAACAGAAUUCGAUCUCUUCACUCAACCUAAAAGAG